rnacentral:rRNA from 1 species
UACAGAGGUCUCAAGCGUUGUUCGGAUUCAUUGGGCGUAAAGGGUGCGUAGGUGGCGUCGUAAGUCAGGUGUGAAAUCUCGGGGCUCAACCCCGAAACUGCACUUGAUACUGCGAUGCUCGAGUACUGGAGAGGAGAUUGGAAUUUACGGUGUAGCAGUGAAAUGCGUAGAUAUCGGGAGGAACACCUGUGGCGAAAGCGGCGCACUGGACCACAUCUGACGCUGAGGCGCGAAAGCUAGGGGAGCAAACAGG